AGGGAAUCUUCGGCAAUGGACGAAAGUCUGACCGAGCAACGCCGCGUGAGUGAAGAAGGUUUUCGGAUCGUAAAACUCUGUUGUUAGAGAAGAACAAGUGGGAGAGUAACUGUUCCCACCUUGACGGUAUCUAACCAGAAAGCCACGGCUAACUACGUGCCAGCAGCCGCGGUAAUACGUAGGUGGCAAGCGUUGUCCGGAUUUAUUGGGCGUAAAGCGAGCGCAGGCGGUUUCUUAAGUCUGAUGUGAAAGCCCUCGGCUCAACCGAGGAAGGUCAUUGGAAACUGGGGAACUUGAAUGCAGAAGAGGAGAGUGGAAUUCCAUGUGUAGCGGUGAAAUGCGUAGAUAUAUGGAGGAACACCAGUGGCGAAGGCGACUCUCUGGUCUGUAAUUGACGCUGAGGCUCGAAAGCGUGGGGAGCAAAC
rnacentral:rRNA from 1 species